ensembl:misc_RNA Metazoa_SRP Metazoan signal recognition particle RNA
GCCGGGUGUGGUGGCACGCACCUGUAAUCCCAGCAACUUGGGAGGCUGAGGCAGAAGAAUUGCUUGAACCCGGGAGGCAGAGGCUGCAGUGAGCUGAUAUCAUGUCACUGCAUUCCCGCCUGGAUGACAGAGCAAGAUUCCGUCUCAA